CUCAGCAGACAUACCACCCACAGUUUCCUGUUAGCAGCUUGUCCAACUAAGACAAGAGCAGCUGUCUUAAUUCUUCCUCUCUCUCUCCAUCAAUGAGGCUCAGAAAAGCCAGCAAUUUGCCUUUAUUCUUCAGAGGACAGCUCUCUCCCAGUGGCUAUAACAAAAUGUAAUAAACUGGGUAGUUCAGAAGCAACAGAACUUGAUUUCUCAUCGUUCUAGAAGUUAAGGAGUUCAUGAUCAAGGUAGCAGCAGAGUUGGUGCCUGAUCUUUACCAUGCUGGAUUGAAAGAGAAAAGACCAUCAGUAAAGCAAAUGGAUCAAAUGGAGUUAUAAAUCAACUCUGUACUCUUUACAGGAUUGACUCAACUGCAGACAUCUCCAAUACACACCCUCAUGGCUUUAUUUUUUUCUGCUUAUGUGGAAAAAUAACAGUAAAUACAGUUCACUAUUCCAAGACAGAAGAGUAUUAUUAAAAAAAAAAACAAUGUUAUUGAUUUUUCAAGACAUAAGCAGAUUAUUUUUAAACUCUGAUUUAAUAAAACAUAAUGUAAUUUCUUUUAUGGGAUUUUUUAUGCUUUCUCAAUGUUUAUUACCCUGUGUGUUUCACACUUCAAAAUGAGAGUAUCCAAAUAAGAUCACUUAAGAGGAUCCUGAUGUAAGUUACAAAAUCCCCAUGGCUGUUA